AUAACGACUCUCGGCAACGGAUAUCUCGGCUCUUGCAUCGAUGAAGAACGUAGCGAAAUGCGAUACUUGGUGUGAAUUGCAGAAUCCCGUGAACCAUCGAGUCUUUGAACGCAAGUUGCGCCCGAAGCCCUUAGGCUGAGGGCACGCCUGCCUGGGUGUCACCA
rnacentral:rRNA from 6 species